AUUGAACGCUGGCGGCAUGCUUUACACAUGCAAGUCGGACGGCAGCACAGAGAAGCUUGCUUCUUGGGUGGCGAGUGGCGAACGGGUGAGUAAUAUAUCGGAACGUACCGAGUAAUGGGGGAUAACUAAUCGAAAGAUUAGCUAAUACCGCUUAUUCUCUGAGGAGGAAAGCGGGGGACUUUCGGGCCUUCCGUUAUUCGAGCGGCGGAUAUCUGAUUAGCUAGUUGGUGGGGUAAAGGCCUACCAAGGCGACGAUCGGUAGCGGGUCUGAGAGGAUGAUCCGCCACACUGGGACUGAGACACGGCCCAGACUCCUACGGGAGGCAGCAGUGGGGAAUUUUGGACAAUGGGCGCAAGCCUGAUCCAGCCAUGCCGCGUGUCUGAAGAAGGCCUUCGGGUUGUAAAGGACUUUUGUCAGGGAAGAAAAGGCUGUUGCUAAUAUCAAUAGCUGAUGACGGUACCUGAAGAAUAAGCACCGGCUAACUACGUG
rnacentral:rRNA from 1 species